UGGGGAAUUUUGGACAAUGGGGGAAACCCUGAUCCAGCCAUCCCGCGUGUGCGAUGAAGGCCUUCGGGUUGUAAAGCACUUUUGGCAGGAAAGAAACGUCAUGGGUUAAUACCCCGUGAAACUGACGGUACCUGCAGAAUAAGCACCGGCUAACUACGUGCCAGCAGCCGCGGUAAUACGUAGGGUGCAAGCGUUAAUCGGAAUUACUGGGCGUAAAGCGUGCGCAGGCGGUUCGGAAAGAAAGAUGUGAAAUCCCAGAGCUCAACUUUGGAACUGCAUUUUUAACUACCGGGCUAGAGUGUGUCAGAGGGAGGUUGAAUUCCGCGUGUAGCAGUGAAAUGCGUAGAUAUGCGGAGGAACACCGAUGGCGAAGGCAGCCUCCUGGGAUAACACUGACGCUCAUGCACGAAAGCGUGGGGAGCAAACAGG
rnacentral:rRNA from 1 species